rnacentral:rRNA from 1 species
UUUUAUGAGAGUUUGAUCCUGGCUCAGGACGAACGCUGGCGGCGUGCCUAAUACAUGCAAGUCGAACGCUUCUUUUUCCACCGGAGCUUGCUCCACCGGAAAAAGAAGAGUGGCGAACGGGUGAGUAACACGUGGGUAACCUGCCCAUCAGAAGGGGAUAACACUUGGAAACAGGUGCUAAUACCGUAUAACAAUCGAAACCGCAUGGUUUUGAUUUGAAAGGCGCUUUCGGGUGUCGCUGAUGGAUGGACCCGCGGUGCAUUAGCUAGUUGGUGAGGUAACGGCUCACCAAGGCCACGAUGCAUAGCCGACCUGAGAGGGUGAUCGGCCACAUUGGGACUGAGACACGGCCCAAACUCCUACGGGAGGCAGCAGUAGGGAAUCUUCGGCAAUGGACGAAAGUCUGACCGAGCAACGCCGCGUGAGUGAAGAAGGUUUUCGGAUCGUAAAACUCUGUUGUUAGAGAAGAACAAGGAUGAGAGUAACUGUUCAUCCCUUGACGGUAUCUAACCAGAAAGCCACGGCUAACUACGUGCCAGCAGCCGCGGUAAUACGUAGGUGGCAAGCGUUGUCCGGAUUUAUUGGGCGUAAAGCGAGCGCAGGCGGUUUCUUAAGUCUGAUGUGAAAGCCCCCGGCUCAACCGGGGAGGGUCAUUGGAAACUGGGAGACUUGAGUGCAGAAGAGGAGAGUGGAAUUCCAUGUGUAGCGGUGAAAUGCGUAGAUAUAUGGAGGAACACCAGUGGCGAAGGCGGCUCUCUGGUCUGUAACUGACGCUGAGGCUCGAAAGCGUGGGGAGCAAACAGGAUUAGAUACCCUGGUAGUCCACGCCGUAAACGAUGAGUGCUAAGUGUUGGAGGGUUUCCGCCCUUCAGUGCUGCAGCUAACGCAUUAAGCACUCCGCCUGGGGAGUACGACCGCAAGGUUGAAACUCAAAGGAAUUGACGGGGGCCCGCACAAGCGGUGGAGCAUGUGGUUUAAUUCGAAGCAACGCGAAGAACCUUACCAGGUCUUGACAUCCUUUGACCACUCUAGAGAUAGAGCUUCCCCUUCGGGGGCAAAGUGACAGGUGGUGCAUGGUUGUCGUCAGCUCGUGUCGUGAGAUG